rnacentral:rRNA from 1 species
CGUGCCUAACACAUGCAAGUCGAGCGAGAAAUCUUGGAAUGAGACUUCGGUUAAGUGAAGAGAUGGAAAGCGGCGGACGGGUGAGUAACGCGUAGGCAACCUGCCUUAUGCAGAGGGAUAGCCAUUGGAAACGAUGAUUAAAACCUCAUAAAGCCAUUUUAUCACAUGGUGAGAUGGUCAAAGAUUUAUCGGCAUAAGAUGGGCCUGCGUCUGAUUAGCUAGUUGGUGGGGUAACGGCCUACCAAGGCGACGAUCAGUAGCCGACCUGAGAGGGUGAUCGGCCACAUUGGAACUGAGACACGGUCCAAACUCCUACGGGAGGCAGCAGUGGGGAAUAUUGCACAAUGGGCGAAAGCCUGAUGCAGCAACGCCGCGUGAAGGAAGAAGGUCUUCGGAUCGUAAACUUCUGUCCUUGGGGAAGAUAAUGACGGUACCCUUGGAGGAAGCCCCGGCUAACUACGUGCCAGCAGCCGCGGUAGUACGUAGGGGGCAAGCGUUAUCCGGAAUUAUUGGGCGUAAAGAGUGCGUAGGUGGUUACCUAAGCAGGGGGUGAAAGGCACUGGCUUAACCAAUGUCAGCCCCCUGAACUGGGUACCUUGAGUGCAGGAGAGGAAAGCGGAAUUCCUAGUGUAGCGGUGAAAUGCGUAGAUAUUAGGAGGAACACCAGUGGCGAAGGCGGCUUUCUGGACUGUUACUGACACUGAGGCACGAAAGUGUGGGGAGCAAACAGGAUUA